AAACUUGCGACCGACUCUACUUGAAAGAUACCCCAAAAGAUAAGCUCAAGAACGACGUCUGCGAACAUUGUGUCAGUUCCGACAAGCUAGGUUUCGAAGGAAACAAUUAAUUAAUUUAAGAAGACUCUCCACCUUCCCUAACAAUACUACAAAUAAUGGUAUUUAGUUACUGUUAUUCUAUUUUGUUCUUAUGAUUUAAAUUUAAA